rnacentral:rRNA from 1 species
UACGUAGGGUGCAAGCGUUAUCCGGAAUUAUUGGGUUUAAAGGGUGCGUAGGCGGCCUAUUAAGUCAGUGCUGAAAUAUCCCGGCUUAACCGGGAGGGUGGCAUUGAUACUGAUGGGCUUGAGUAGAGUCGAGGUAGGCGGAAUUGACGGUGUAGCGGUGAAAUGCUUAGAUAUCGUCAAGAACACCGAUAGUGUAGACAGCUUACUAGACUCAAACUGACGCUGAGGCACGAAAGUGUGGGGAUCAAAC